GAGAAAGCUAAGUGUUGAUGACAGUGUGGGCCUGACCGUGCCUGAGUAAGCCCCAUGGGAACACAGCCGUGGUGGGAAGCAGCUUCCCAGCAGCCCUCCCCGCCAUCGGGAGAAUCCCCUGAGGCCAUGAGAGGGUCUCAGGGAGGUGGACGGCCCAUCAAGUGAGAACCGAGGGCACUGUGCACUCCUGAAUCCUAGGACUCCUCUUAGGUCAUUGACUAACAACAUCAACAAUGAAAUGAAUCUGAGAAAACAGGAAAUUGAGAGCAAGAGAAAAAAAAGUUAAUUAUACUGAUUUUGUAUAAGACCCCUUUGAACACAUUUUUAAAAAAUCAAAUAGAAGGUGCCCAGGUCCACUGUGCCUUGUGAAUAUUUGUCUUGUAUAUCCUAGAGAUCUACGCAUUCAUGUGGGAAUUGAAAAGGACCCACAUUUUACUAGAAGCAUCGUUCAUUUUUGCCUCAAAACAAUGCCCACAUGUCAGAAGAACUUUCACAAUUCACAGGAACAGUGACCUAAUUAACCAACCAUAAAAUUGCCAAAUCCCUACUUCUCAUUGUUUAAUAUGCUUAGAAAACCCAUUCAAAUUGUGAAUUAUCAAGUGAGCUUACACUGAUAAAUAGAUCCAAUAUUUAGGAAUUUUUAAAUCUUCCAUUCCUUUUUUUUUUUUGUCUUUUUAAAAAUAGAACAUUAGAAUAUGUCCUCCAGGUUUUAGAGAUGGGGGAGACAUGCUUCCCUUUAUUUCUCAGUAACUCAGCCAAAAAAAAUCUGGAGAGAAUGCAAAGACAGCUACUGGAAACUUUGAAAAGUAGAUGUGAGCCCAUCAGGGAAGAGCUAGAGAAUCUGAAAUCUACUCGAAAAAGUGAGUUUGAUACUUUGUGUUCCUAUCCUAACUCCACACAGCCUGAAACUUGGAAGUGAGCAUGAUGGAGUGGAUACAGUGAGAUGCAGAAGAAAUCCUCCAGUUUGGGCUGGAAGGGAAAAAAGAGACCCCUAAAACUCAGAGACAGUGGAAGAAAUUCCUGGUGUUUUUUUCUUCUCUUUUUCUCUGUUCUUCCACAUAGCAAUUUAGUAUUGACUACAGCAUCUCUGUUACAAUGAUAGCACCGAAAUGUUGUAACCAUAUGGCCUGCAAAGCCAAAAAUACUUAUCUGACCAUCUACAGGAAAAGUUUGCUGAUCUGGAUGAAAUAUUCUGAUACUAAAUAUUCCAUUUUGAGGCUGAUAUUCCUAAUCUAUUCAUAAGGAUGGCAUAUCUACCCAGUGGGCCUGCUGGGACUCCAGUUACCCGAUGCACAUACAUUGCUUGGUGGUCACAGAGGUUGGUUUGCUGAGCAACUCUGAGAACCCGUUUUUAAGUUCCCUGACUCUCCUAUUCACUGGAAUGGAAUGCCUUGCUGUCUGGGCCCUCCUUGCUUCACCUUCCAAUGAACUGAAAUCAUCACACUGAUCCUAUUGUAGCGGAGAGUGGUGUGUUAAAACCAUAACCAUAACCCCGUCUGGAGACCAGCCUCAGCUCUGUCGCUUUCUUAUCUCUUCAGAUGCAGCAGAUAGUUACCUCUAACUUUUAGUUUGCCUCAGACAUUAAGAAUAAAAUCAUAUUCAGCAUAAUUUAGGUGUCAUUCUCCACAUUCCACUGGUGCUAACAAACAUUUUUGUAUUGUUCCCAUGUGUCAACAAUAGCAAUCUGUGGCUCAUUAUAAGUGACAGCAAAUGUCAACAAGCCUGCCUCCUGGAGAUUUGUUUGUAAAGAUUCCUUAUCAGUUGUUGUUAUUUAUACCCCUGGCUUCUAUCGUCAUUGAUUAUUCUAUAUAUUUUCCUCCUUCAAGUGAAUGUACAAAGAGACCAAGAAAACCUCAGUCAAACUUGGAAAUUUCCUUUGUAAUAUUCUUUUUAAAGUUAGUUAUGUGGCAGUUUCGUGUGCAUUUUUGGUGAUGAUGCUCCACGGAACAUCUGCAGAUGUGCUGUCAAUUUGGACAGCUCUGACUACCGAGUGAAUGGGAAGUACUAACGAGAACUGUCUGCUUGGGAACUCCAUGAAGUUCGUGGCUUUUGUGAUUGAAAUAGCAUCAAUAAAAGGUUGACACUGUGGAACAACACAAGCCUGCAUGGACCUGGUUAUCUCUGACCUCGCACCACUCAUGAGACCAUACCUGAGCCCUACUCCACUUUGGCAGAACUGUUGCAUGGCCUCUCUUCAUAUAAUACCUCUCCGUACACCGUACACCGCAGCUCAAAGAAAGGAUAUAUGCUCCCUGUGAAGACUAAUGGAACUGUCCCUCCUGAUCCUCCUACAGACUUCCUCUGGCCUAAUGGGUGCACCAUUGCAUUAUAUCUGCCAUCUAUACACACAUAUACCUUUCAACCCUGCACUCUCUGAGAUGACUGGACUCAUGCCUAAAUAACUGAUGCUGUCCCUAGUGUAAGGUAAGCACUCAAUAGUUUCUCAGGAAAUGAAUAUGAUAAAUAUUUUGGCUGUUUAGAGGCUUUCCUUCACUUCAUUUUCUGUGUCCUCUUAUUUAAAAAGAAGUGCUCACUA
rnacentral:lncRNA from 1 species